rnacentral:rRNA from 1 species
GACGAACGCUGGCGGCGGGCCUCAUACAUGCAAGUAGAACGCAGUUGCGAACGGGUGCGUAACGCGUAGGUAACUGACUGGUAGCGGGGGAUAACUAUUGGAAACGAUAGCUAAUAACGCAUACUACCAGAUGGACCUGCGUUGUAUUAGCUAGUUGGUGAGGGAACGGGUCACCAAGGCAACGCAACAUAGCCGACCUGAGACGGUGAUCGGCCCAACUUGUACUGAGACACGGCCCAGACUCCUACGGGAGGCAGCAGUAGGGAAUCUUCGGCAAUGGGGGGAACCCUGACCGAGCAACGCCGCGGGAGUGAAGAAGGUUUUCGGAUCGUAAAGCUCUGUUGUUAAGGAAGCGGUACUUAACCAGAAAGGGACGGCUAACUACGUGCCAGCAGCCGCGGUAAUUC